CCUACGGGUGGCAGCAGUGGGGAAUAUUGGGCAAUGGGCGCAAGCCUGACCCAGCAAUGCCGCGUGAAGGAAGAAGGCUUUCGGGUUGUAAACUUCUUUGACAGGGGAAGUGCAGUAGACGGUACCCUGAAAACAAGCUACGGUUAACUACUUGCCAGCAGCUGCGGUAAUACGUAGGUGGCAAGCGUUGUCCGGAUUUCCUGGGUGUAAAGGGCGUGUAGCCGGGAAGGCAAGUCAGUUGUGAAAUCCGGAGGCUCAACCUCCGAAUUGCAAUUGAUACUGGUUGUCUUGAGUACUGGAGAGGCAGGCGGAAUUCCUUGUGUAGCGGUGAAAUGCGUAGAUAUAAGGAGGAACACCAGUGGCGAAGGCGGUCUGCUGAACAGCAACUGACAGUGAGGCGCGAAAGCGUGGGGAGCAAACAGGAUUAGAUACCCUAGUAGUC
rnacentral:rRNA from 1 species